GGAUGUAGCUCAGUUGGUAGAGGGCUGGCCUCUCAUGUCUCAUGCACAAGGACCUGGGUUGGAUCCCCAGCACCA
rnacentral:tRNA from 1 species